rnacentral:rRNA from 1 species
AUUGAACGCUAGCGGGAUGCCUUACACAUGCAAGUCGAACGGAGUGGCGAACGGGUGAGUAAUGUAUCGGAACGUGCCCAGUAGCGGGGGAUAACUACGCGAAAGCGUAGCUAAUACCGCAGACUAUUGGAGCGGCCGAUGUCGGAUUAGCUAGUUGUGGGGGUAACGGCUCACCAAGGCGACGAUCCGUAGCUGGUCUGAGAGGAGGACCAGCCAAACUUGAACGGAGAAACGGCCCAGACUCCUACGGGAGGCAGCAGUGGGGAAUUUUGGACAAGGGGGGAAACCCGGAUGCAGACAUCCCGCGUGUGUGAUGAAGGCCUUCGGUUUGUAAAGCACUUGUGGCGGGAAGGCGGUACCCGCAGAAUAAGCACCGGCGAACUACGUGCCAGCAGCCGCGGUAAUAC